ensembl:lncRNA uncharacterized LOC114854694
CAGUCUUCUAUCUGUUGACCCCUCUUCACAAAACGACCUAAAUCCUGACAUUCGUCUCUGUCAUGUUUUUACAGAGCAAAACAAACAAAAGUCUUUCUGAUCAUAGAGAGAAAUUGCAAGCACAACACUGUUGGCACUGUGCUACUGGAUAUUUGGAUAUCGUCAGCUGCUCAGACCCUGUAAUUCUGACCGGACUGGAUGAACUGGGACAGACAGUACUGUAUGUGCACAAGGAAGUAAAGCACAAAAGUGUGCGUGCGCGCGUGCGUGCGCGUGCGUGCGUGCGUGUGUGCGCGCGUGUGUGUGUGUGUGUGUGCGUGCGUGUGUGUGCGUGUGUGUGUGUGUAUAUAUACUGGGGCAGCUCAGAGGCAAUAAACCACCCAGGAAACCGUGUCUGGAGCUCUACAACUGCCUCAACAUGAGGAGCUUGAUUUAUUUUCUGGCUCUCGUCAGCUCAGCUGGAGCCCUUGUGUGUCAGUCCUGCUCAGAUGCUCAGUGUUCAAACACAGCACCAGUGACUUGUUCCUCAGAGACCAUGUGUCUGGCAGCUUCUGCAGAAAUCAAUGAAGAGGGCAACAUUAGACAGCUGACCUACAAGGCAUGUGCAUCAUCCUCUCUGUGUCCAGCAACUGGCAGCCAGACAUUUUCAGUCAACUUGGCUUUAUCAAAAGCAGUUUUAGCUGUUGGUUGCUGUGACACUGACAACUGCAACUCUCUAACUCCGCCUAUCCCUGCUGCUCAGUCGCUCAACAGCCUGUCAUGUAAAUACCGCGACCCUUCCCUUCCUGCUACUGGCGUCACUCAGUGUAGGGGAAUAGAAGACAGAUGCUUUCAAGUGAAGGGGACGACUGGGUCCAGCGUAGAUCAAGCUUCCGGCUGUGCAUCCAACAACCUGUGUGCUGCUGCUGCCAGUCUGGCUGCUCUGCCAAUACUACAGAGUUUCCCUUAUUUGAGGAAUCAGAUAAGUUGUUGUCAGAGCAAUUUAUGUACUGACCUUACAACAACCACCACUACACCACCACCACCACCAAAAACCACUACUACACCACCACCACCACCACCAAGAACCACCACUAGACCACCAUCACACCACCACCAGCACCACCAAGAACCACCACUACACCACCACCAGCCCCACCAAGAACCACCACUAGACCACCACCACCACCAAAAAAAGCAUAACUAACAUCACAAAAAGCACCAAUAAACAUUUAAUGAAAGUUUAUUUACA